rnacentral:rRNA from 1 species
GACGAACGCUGGCGGCGUGCUUAACACAUGCAAGUCGAACGGAAAGGCCCUGCUUUUGUGGGGUGCUCGAGUGGCGAACGGGUGAGUAACACGUGAGUAACCUGCCCUUGACUUUGGGAUAACUUCAGGAAACUGGGGCUAAUACCGGAUAGGAGCUCCUGCUGCAUGGUGGGGGUUGGAAAGUUUCGGCGGUUGGGGAUGGACUCGCGGCUUAUCAGCUUGUUGGUGGGGUAGUGGCUUACCAAGGCUUUGACGGGUAGCCGGCCUGAGAGGGUGACCGGCCAAAUUGGGACUGGGAUACGGCCCAGCCUCCUAGGGGGGGCAGCGGGGGGGAAUAUUGCACAAGGGGCGGAAGCCUGAUGCGGCAACGCCGCGGGCGGGAUGAGGGCCUUGGGGUUGUAAACCGCUUUCGCCUGUGACGAAGCGUGAGUGACGGUAAUGGGUAAAGAAGCACCGGCUAACUACGU